UACGUAGGGUGCAAGCGUUAAUCGGAAUUACUGGGCGUAAAGCGUGCGCAGGCGGUUUUGUAAGUCAGAUGUGAAAUCCCCGGGCUUAACCUGGGAACUGCGUUUGAAACUACAAGGCUAGAGUGUGACAGAGGGGGGUGGAAUUCCACGUGUAGCAGUGAAAUGCGUAGAGAUGUGGAGGAACACCGAUGGCGAAGGCAGCCCCCUGGGUUAACACUGACGCUCAGGCACGAAAGCGUGGGGAGCAAACAGG
rnacentral:rRNA from 1 species